rnacentral:rRNA from 1 species
UACGGAGGGAGCUAGCGUUGUUCGGAAUUACUGGGCGUAAAGCGCACGUAGGCGGCUUUGUAAGUUAGAGGUGAAAGCCCGGGGCUCAACCCCGGAAUUGCCUUUAAGACUGCAUCGCUUGAAUCCGGGAGAGGUGAGUGGAAUUCCGAGUGUAGAGGUGAAAUGCGUAGAUAUCUGGAGGAAUACCGGUGGCGAAGGCGGCAUCCUGGACCGACAUUGACGCUGAGGAGCGAAAGCCAGGGGAGCAAACGGG